GCCGGUGUGGUGAAAUUGGUAUACACGACGGAUUCAAAAUCCGUUUCUUUCGGGAGUGGCGGUUCAAGUCCGCCCACCGGUACCA
rnacentral:tRNA from 1 species